rnacentral:rRNA from 1 species
GACAGAGGGUGCAAACGUUGUUCGGAAUUACUGGGCGUAAAGCGCAUGUAGGCGGCCUAGCAGGUCGGAUGUGAAAUCCCUCGGCUCAACCAAGGAAGUGCAUUCGAAACCGCAAGGCUCGAGUCCCGGAGAGGAUGGUGGAAUUCUCGGUGUAGAGGUGAAAUUCGUAGAUAUCGAGAGGAACACCGGCGGCGAAGGCGGCCAUCUGGACGAGGACUGACGCUGAGAUGCGAAAGCGUGGGAGCAAACAGG